UGGGAAGGUGACACAUUUAAAGACUUUGCAUUUGGAACAUAACAAAUAACCAAUCUGCAUUUCAAUUUUAAAUAAAGGGUUUUAGUUUUUGAUUCAUCAUUUGCAGGGGACGAAGCCAGAAUAACAUGCAAUGUGGAAGGCAAUACGGGGAACUGUAUACUGAAUUCUGAACAGAGCAGUCACUUGUUGUGAUGUCCUAGUCUUAUACCUUAUGUGAAUACGUACAGCUUUACAAGAUGGGCACCGGCGGUAGAUCCGCUUGUUUUCCGCUGUGACGUUGGUUUUUUGUCCUUUACAAAAAUCACAAAGCAACCAUCCUUUCCCAUUACAAGGUUCACACAUGAUUCCUCUAGCAUCAACCUUGAGUACAAUUGGAGUGGGGAAAACAGUGGAAGAAGCCACAAGGUGGAAAUUAAAUUGAAGAAACAACAAAUCAUAGGACAGAGGAAAGUAUUAUGUAACACAUGUUUGAGGAAGCAAAUGAGAAGUGAAAAUUCCAAUCAAUAAGCAAGUGAAGCUGACCUCUUGCUGUUGCUGGAGUUGGUGGAGAGGUGCACAAUGCAGGGGUUUGAAGAAAGGCCUGGUCCAGAUGGUCCUUGAAGCCACCGGAGCUGUAGCUGGCGGCGUCACAAUCAUCCCUGGGAAUUUCAGAAUGGAGGGCGGUCUCGUCAUGCAAUUCACCAUUAUAGAUUCAAUACACUAUACAAGCAGUAGCAUACAAGUCUGUUUUAUUUAUUUCUGCAUUUCAAGAUUCAAUUCAAGCCAAGCCACUACCAUCAUAACCAUUAUUGUGUGGAUAAUAAAAUGAGAGACAUCGCACCUAGUUUCCACAAAAUAA